AGUGAACGCUGGCGGCGUGCUUAACACAUGCAAGUCGAACGAGAACGGGAUUAGCUUGCUAAUCUGUCAGCUAAGUGGCGCACGGGUGAGUAAUAUAUAGGUAACGUGCCUUCAAGAGGGGGAUAACAGAUGGAAACGUCUGCUAAAACCCCAUAUGCCUUUAAUGCGAAAGUAUGCAAGGGAAAUAUUUAUAGCUUGAAGAUCGGCCUGUACAGUAUCAGAUAGUUGGUGAGGUAAUAGCUCACCAAGUCAAUGACGCUUAACUGGUUUGAGAGGAUGAUCAGUCACACUGGAACUGAGACACGGUCCAGACUCCUACGGGAGGCAGCAGUGGGGAAUAUUGCACAAUGGGGGAAACCCUGAUGCAGCAACGCCGCGUGGAGGAUGACACAUUUCGGUGCGUAAACUCCUUUUAUAUAAGAAGAUAAUGACGGUAUUAUAUGAAUAAGCACCGGCUAACUCCGUGCCAGCAGCCGCGGUAAUACGGAGGGUGCAAGCGUUACUCGGAAUCACUGGGCGUAAAGAGCGUGUAGGCGGAUAGAUAAGUCAGAAGUGAAAUCCAAUAGCUUAACUAUUGAACUGCUUUUGAAACUGUCUAUCUAGAGUAUGGGAGAGGUAGAUGGAAUUUCUGGUGUAGGGGUAAAAUCCGUAGAGAUCAGAAGGAAUACCGAUUGCGAAGGCGAUCUACUGGAACAUAACUGACGCUGAGACGCGAGAGCGUGGGGAGCAAACAGG
rnacentral:rRNA from 1 species